GAUGAACGCUGGCGGCGUGCCUAAUACAUGCAAGUCGAGCGAACAGACGAGGAGCUUGCUCCUCUGACGUUAGCGGCGGACGGGUGAGUAACACGUGGAUAACCUACCUAUAAGACUGGGAUAACUUCGGGAAACCGGAGCUAAUACCGGAUAAUAUAUUGAACCGCAUGGUUCAAUAGUGAAAGACGGUUUUGCUGUCACUUAUAGAUGGAUCCGCGCCGCAUUAGCUAGUUGGUAAGGUAACGGCUUACCAAGGCAACGAUGCGUAGCCGACCUGAGAGGGGGAUCGGCCCCACGGGAACUGAGACACGGUCCAGACUCCCAGGGGAGGCAGCAGUAGGGAAUCUUCCGAAAGGGGCGAAAGCCUGAGGGAGCAACGCCGGGGGAGGGAUGAGGGUUUUCGGAUCGUAAAACUUUUUUAUUAGGGAAAAAAAAAUGUGUAAGUAACUAUGCACGUUUUGACGGUACCUAAUCAAAAAGCACCGGCUAACUCCGU
rnacentral:rRNA from 1 species